rnacentral:rRNA from 1 species
CAGCAGCCGCCGUAAUACGAGGGGUGCAAGCGUUAAUCGGAAUUACUGGGCGUAAAGCGUUCGUAGGCGGUCUAUUAAGCAAGAUGUGAAAGCCCAGGGCUCAACCUUGGAACUGCAUUUUGAACUGGUAGACUAGAGUACUGUAGAGGGUGGUGGAAUUUCCAGUGUAGCGGUGAAAUGCGUAGAGAUUGGAAGGAACAUCAGUGGCGAAGGCGGCCACCUGGACAGAUACUGACGCUGAGGAACGAAAGCGUGGGGAGCGAACAGGAUUAGAUACCCUGGUAGUCCACGCCGUAAACGAUGUCAACUAGCCGUUUGUGUCCUUGAGAYGUGAGUGGCGCAGCUAACGCACUAAGUUGACCGCCUGGGGAGUACGGCCGCAAGGUUAAAACUCAAAGGAAUUGACGG